AGCGGAAGUGCAGCUUGGAGGGGUUCCUCGCUGUCUGCUGUGUGACUUUCAAAUUAUUCCUUUGAGCUGGUUUCCCCGAAGUGCAAUUUCGUGGCUAGAAAGGUUUUCUAGGCUGGUGUCAAAUUUGGUCAAAUGACCUUCGAGGGGGCCGGACGCUCACGCCAGCGGCGUUGGCGAGCGAGUCGAGCCGUGGGGCUCCGUGCAGAACGGGCGUUGUUGGAGGCAGACGACAGAGCCGGGCCGAGCCCCCCGGCCCCCCUCCCGGGUCCUCACUCAGCUGCACCCACUCAGGCCCGUUCUGGAACCUGAGCAGCUCCGUGGUUACUGUUCAAGGUGGGUCUUUGGAAGGUCUGUGUCAGAGCUUGACAGCAGGCACCUGAGUGUUUGACAUUUGCUGCUGGACCAUGGGCUGCAGCGAUGCCCCGCGGCGGGGGCUCCGGACGCGCCGAGGUCAGGCCCAGGAGAGGAGCUGUGACGUGGGCACCCCUGCGAAGCCUGGGCUCCCUGGUGACCCUCUCUGAUCUCGCCCCCCGCCGUCUGUGCCAUGGUGUGGAUGGCGCUCCCCCGGGGCAGGUCUGCCCCAGGACGCCGCGCCGCGUCUGGACACGUUUCGGGUUGUCAUGACCGGGGUGCUCCUGGCGUCUGGUGGGUGCAGGCCUGGGGUGCCGCUCAACACCCACGCGCCCAGGGCGGCCCCACCACUGUCCUCUCGGGAAGAGGCGUCCUCGGCUCUGCUCUUGCUCCGGGGUCCCAUGUGCCGGCCUGUGGCCCCCCGGACUUCCCUCUGAACCCUUUGGAGAGGACGGAGGGAGAAAAGGCAGGUCUUAGUCCCGUGAAAACGGUGUCGGCCCGCGGACCUCGCACCCUGGACCAGCUUGAGGACCAUGUGCGGCUGACUCGCGCCCUUCGUGGUGUACUGUCC
rnacentral:lncRNA from 1 species